rnacentral:lncRNA from 1 species
UACCAACACUCCUAGCCCACAAGCUCAUUGUUAGCUGUAAAAAGCAGGGAAGGAGCCAGGUGAUGGUGGUGCACGCCUUUGAACCCAGCACUCAGAAGGCAAAGCAUGGAACCUAAUACUAAGAGGAGAGAUGACCAAUAUAGUCCAAAGAGAAUAAACACAGUGAGAUACAGAGCAGCACCAGCCCUUUGUAGAAGGAAGAGCAUCUGCACUGCUGGGAACAGGGCUUUCCAACUUCCUGACUGUGUGAUCCAAGAUCAAAGCACUUCUCACCCGUCAUCAGAGAUGUUUCUUGAAGCAGAUGGGAG